ACGCUCACCWUCGCGACCCCAGGUCAGGCGGGAUUACCCGCUGAAUUUAA
rnacentral:rRNA from 1 species